rnacentral:rRNA from 1 species
GGUGUGGUCUAUUUACUCCAGUCUUUUUUACAGGAAUCGAGGAAGAGAGAGAAGGAAGAUAAAGGUUCAAGGAUCUAGAAGCGAAUAUUCUCCCGUGAAAUUAUUUGCACAAACACAACCCAUACUCAUACCGAAGGCAGUAGUGGGGAAUUCUCCGCAAUGGGAGAAAGCCCGAUAGGGCAAUGUCGCGUGGAGGUAGAAGAGGCAAUGAAAGCAUCGGCUCUCUUUGUGCUAGCAGUCGCGGUAAAACAGAGGAUUUA